CCUUCCUCAUACUACAUCUAUCAAGUCCUGUCAACCACAUUUUAAAAUGUUAUGUGCUUUCCCAGAAUUUACUUAUUUAAUCAUUAUACUGUAGUCCUAGUUCAUUGUCCAACAUUUCUUGAUAUUGAGAAGUCAACUACCAAGGUACCUGUUGUGAAUGGAAAGAUCCAGAACUCUGCCUCCAGUUUGAGCUUUCCCUUCCAGACCUCUACUCUGCUUGCUUUCUUGGCACCUUGCUGCAUUGCCAUAAAAACAAGCUCAGCCCCACAUGCUGGAGGAUGAGGGAAUAUGUGGAGCUGGGAUGAGCCACCCUGGAGGAAGCCACCCUGACCAAGCCAGCAGCUGCCACAGACCCAUGAACGGACCUGGCCAGCACCUGAAGAACCACCUAGCUGAACCCAGAUCAAACUGCUGAGCUGCAGAAAGAAGUCCAAGAUCAAGGUGGCAGCAGAGGUGGUUUGUGGUGAGAACUCUCUUCCUGACUUGCAGAUGGAACCUUCUUGCUGUGUCUUCACAUGACCUUUACUUGGACUGUACCCAACCAUCUGUGGGGUUUAUCUCGUUGGAUCCUUCCAUCAACUCCAUGAAGCAGAGGCAAGUAUUAUCCCAUUUCACAGACGAGGAAGCUGAGGCACUGAGGAGAUUAAGAGACCUACUCAAGAUCACACAGCCAGUGAGUGACACAGUGGGAUUUGAACCUUGGAGACCUGACUUCUUAGGCUGGGGGAGUCUGACCUGGAUUUUGGCCCGCUUCUAAAAUGAACAGGAAAGCAGCAGGGAUGGUGCUAGCAGAAUCGGGCCCGGCAGAGGUUACACACCGUCUCUCACACCCAAGGUCCUGCGGCCACAGCGGAAUUGUCUCCCACCUUCCCCUUGGUCCUCGGAACAGAGACCUCCGAGGGGCUGACGGAGGGGAAGCCUCAGGAACUGCCCCAAUGGCAUUUCCUUCCCGUGUGGCAGGCACAGCCCAAAGAGCCACCCAGGAGUGACACCAGGAGUGGGUUAUCUGGGGCGCCUGCGGGCUCAGUCGGCUAAGCGUCUGCCUUCGGCUCAGGUCAUGAUCCCAGGGUUCUGGGAUCGAGCCCCAUCAGGGCUCCUGAUCAGUGGAGAAUCUGCUUCCCCCUCUCCCUAGCCCCUCC